CCUACGGGAGGCAGCAGUGGGGAAUAUUGGGCAAUGGGCGCAAGCCUGACCCAGCAACGCCGCGUGAAGGAAGAAGGCUUUCGGGUUGUAAACUUCUUUUGUCAGGGACGAAGCAAGUGACGGUACCUGACGAAUAAGCCACGGCUAACUACGUGCCAGCAGCCGCGGUAAUACGUAGGUGGCAAGCGUUAUCCGGAUUUACUGGGUGUAAAGGGCGUGUAGGCGGGGAAGCAAGUCAGAUGUGAAAACCACGGGCUCAACCUGUGGCCUGCAUUGGGAACUGGUUUUCUUGAGUACUGGGGAGGCAGACUGAAUUCCUAGUGUAGCGGUGAAAUGCGUAGAGAUUAGGAGGAACACCAGUGGCGAAGGCGGUCUGCUGGACAGCAACUGACGCUGAGGCGCGAAAGCGUGGGGAGCAAACAGGAUUAGAUACCCCAGUAGUC
rnacentral:rRNA from 1 species